GGGGCUGAAGUAGGUCCCAAGGGUAUGGCUGUUCGCCAUUUAAAGUGGUACGCGAGCUGGGUUUAGAACGUCGUGAGACAGUUCGGUCCCUAUCUGCCGUGGGCGCUGGAGAAUUGAGGGGGGCUGCUCCUAGUACGAGAGGACCGGAGUGGACGCAUCACUGGUGUUCGGGUUGUCAUGCCAAUGGCACUGCCCGGUAGCUAAAUGCGGAAAAGAUAAGUGCUGAAAGCAUCUAAGCACGAAACUUGCCCCGAGAUGAGUUCUCCCUGAGACUUUGAGUCUCCUGAAGGAACGUUAAAGACGAUGACGUUGAUAGGCCGGGUGUGUAAGCGCAGCGAUGCGUUGAGCUAACCGGUACUAAUGAACCGUGAGGCUUAACCUUAC
rnacentral:rRNA from 1 species